UCCCUUGAAGAACACAAGGUUGAUAGGUUGGGGGUGUAAGCAUGGUAACAUGUUCAGCUGACCGAUACUAAUAGAUCGAGGGCUUGACCAA
rnacentral:rRNA from 1 species